rnacentral:rRNA from 1 species
AUAUAUCGGAACGUACCCAAGAGUGGGGGAUAACGUAGCGAAAGUUACGCUAAUACCGCAUACGAUCUAUGGAUGAAAGCAGGGGACCGCAAGGCCUUGUGCUCCUGGAGCGGCCGAUAUCUGAUUAGCUAGUUGGUGAGGUAAAGGCUCACCAAGGCGACGAUCAGUAGCUGGUCUGAGAGGACGACCAGCCACACUGGAACUGAGACACGGUCCAGACUCCUACGGGAGGCAGCAGUGGGGAAUUUUGGACAAUGGGCGCAAGCCUGAUCCAGCAAUGCCGCGUGAGUGAAGAAGGCCUUCGGGUUGUAAAGCUCUUUUGUCAGGGAAGAAACGGUGGAGGUUAAUACCUUCCACUAAUGACGGUACCUGAAGAAUAAGCACCGGCUAACUACGUGCCAGCAGCCGCGGUAAUACGUAGGGUGCAAGCGUUAAUCGGAAUUACUGGGCGUAAAGCGUGCGCAGGCGGUUUUGUAAGUCUGUCGUGAAAGCCCCGGGCUCAACCUGGGAAUUGCGAUGGAGA